rnacentral:snRNA from 1 species
GUGCUCGUUUUGGCAGCACAUAUACUAAAAUUGGAACGAUACAAAGAAGAUUAGCAUGGCCCCUGCUCAAGGAUGACACACAAAGUCGUGAAGCAUUCUAUAAAAUU